CGAUCACUGGAGGGAAAUGGACUUUUUUUUUUUUUUUUUUUGUCUUUCCCCCUCCCCCCCUUCUUUCUUCCCUUUCCCGCCCCCUUCCCCCAUCGCUUUGUGAGGGGUUGUGGAAGGCGAAGCCGAGGAGGGAGCAGGGCGCCUGACGGCUUUUUUCUCCCCGCGGCUGCCGCGCACAACAUGGCCGCGCCGGGGAGCGCCCUGCAGCAGCGGGAGGCAGCGCUGCGGGCGGCGGGGCUGGCGGCGCUCCAGCACGGCUGGGGAGGACGGGGGGGCCGGCCGGGCGGGGAGGACAAAGGCAGCUCGCAUAAUGCGGGCGAAGCCCUGUGUGCCUAUAAAUAACGCCACCCGCCCCUCGCCUUCCUCCCUUCCCCCCGCCGCAGCCUGCUGCUCGGUUGCUUUUAUAAAUACCAAAAGAUGAAAGUAGCCUAAUGCAGUGAGGGGGGAAAAAAAAUAAGAGGAACAAACAACAGCUUCCCCCCCACUCCCCUCAAAAAAAAAAAAAAAAAAAAAAAGCGCCCAUUGCGGGGGAUGGAGCGGGGGGAAGCCAGGCAAAUGAGCAGGCAGAGCUGGCCGCGGGAGGAGCAGGGCGGCGUCGUCAGCCUCCCCGCCUGGAGCGGGCUGCGCUGCGCCCCGCCACCGCGGCGGGGGGAGCGCGGCCGCCGCUCCCCGCCGCUCAUCACAUGGCUCUUUGUUGUUUUCCUUCUCCUGCCCCUCCUGGGCUUUGCCCCCCUCCGCCAUCGCCCGGCCGCUCCGCCGCUGCCCUGCCUCCUCCCGCCCGCAGUCGGGGUGGGAUGGCCCGGCCCGACCGGCCUGCAGCGCCGAGCUACCCGGGCCCUUAGCCGGGGCUGGGCUGGCGCGGAGCCGGCUGCAGUGCGAGCCGCCAUGCCCGUCUGAGGUGUUACACGUGCCUUUUUUUUUUUAAUUCUUUUUUUUUUUUUUUCUCUGUUUUGGUGGUUUGUUUUUUGGUUUUGGUUUUUUUUUUUUUUUUUUUUUUUCCCGAGCAGAUUUUCCUGCAGCUCGCUUUGGGUGGAGGCGUGGGGGUUAUUUCGGAGGUUCACUGUGCUCUGCGGGGAGUUGCAUCUCGUGCUCCCACUGCAGACCCAAAUUAGGUGAGCUAGGAAAGCCUGGCUUGAGCAACCACUUCAGAGGGGCAGGAUCAGGGGAGGAAAAUCAAACACUUUGUAGAGAGGUGGCCUCACUGGUCAGGCUAGAGCAGGACCGUCCUGCGGACCCUGUGGGAGGGAGAAGGGUGCUGCCGCGAAGGAGGCACCGCAGCCUGCGCCUUUCGCAACGGGCAGGAUCAAUCUCUCCAUUCCUUGUUUCUACUCUCCCCACCCCGCCCUUCUUCGGUCCUCACCGGGUCAGGCUCUGUCGAGAACAAGCGACCAACCGUCCGCACAAAACAUAACACGUUCCCAUGGAGGGGGGAAGAAAGGAAAAAACAAAGUCUUCGCACUGCCAGGCUGGGUUUAAAAGACUCUCUCGGGGCUGAGCCAUGGCGGCCGCCGGCCCCUCGGUCCCUGUGAGACGCGCCGUGUCCGGCCAGAGCGCCUGGAAAACGCCUGGCCCUCGCUUGUGCCAGCACUGCGACUGCCUUCCUGCUUUACAAUUGCUUUAAAUAAUAAUCUGCUAGUAAACUUGGGAAGAAACGGUGACGUUAUUCUUAGCUAAACGCCAUUAAAAUGCUCCUCUGCUGUUUCUCAAUAGAGGUGAAAAGCAUUUUAGCUUCCUGGAAAUGGCCGAAACAGGCGACGUGUUGAUCAAAGUACGGUGUAGAUCUGUUGCUUGUUUUGCAGGGGGUUUUUGAACUGUAAUGAAAACGUUUCUGCAGCUUGCAUCAUAAUGAGUUAAGUCAGCACGUGAGGUGAUUUUUAAAAAGAGCAGAUUUAAACAGCAUCGGCUAUUAGCUUCCCUGGGAUUUAAAGUUUAUGUUUAAAGAGGUAUAUGGAUAUUAGUAAUACCUGCAUUUAAAUUUUAACGUUGGUCUGUUUAACCCUGAAGCAAACUAGCUCUGCCUAACACAGGCUUUGAAACGAUUCAGCCAGACCAUAAUACUGUGGGAGCUUAGACAGCUUUGUCUCUACUUGCACCUCUCUGCGCAUUUUUCCAGGACUGUGAUCUUUGUCUGCAAUUAAUCAUUGUUCAGGAUGGCUGUUCCCGAUGGUAGAAUCCAUGAACUCCAGCUGGGAGAGGUCCUAAAGCGGGUGCCUGGCACUGCGUACGUGCGAACCAGAGCCAGAAUUUGCUGGGGCAGCAGGCGUUGUAUGGCGAGCCCGCCGCGCAGACCCAGUGAAUUGUGUGGGUCCUCAGUACUUCUGGAAAUUGUUUUUGUAAGUCUGAGCUGAAAAAUUCUUUCAGUUUUUAAGAGUUUCUAAAUGACUAUAAUGUUCAGUGUAGUUUAAAAGUCACCAAGGCAGUUGAGACUGGUUGCACUCUCAGAGUGGGUGGUUUCAUGGCUGAAGCUCGUAUCUGAAAAGCUAAAUGUUCUGGUACAGCAUGUUUAAAUCCCAGAAAGGUCAAACCAGACUUUCAUACUUGAGUUAGAUUGACUCUGGUUUAUUGCAUGAGACUCCUUAGAGAAAGAAAGAGAUCUUUCAGGGGAAGAAGGGUGGGGGGGAAGAUUUUUUUUCUCUGAACAGCUUGUGGUGACUCUACACACAUUCUUGAAGCAGAGGGGUUUGUUCUUGCCCACAGCAUCCAUCCCCUGCAUUGUUGAGUGGAAAACUCCUAUGCUAAUUAUUUCACUGUCUGUUAUCAAUAAGAAGUGAUUUAAUUUCUUUGGCAAAGUGUUGCAACAAGAGCAAAUUAGAUUGAGAGGCAAAGUGAAAUAAAAAAUAUGCAGCUGUUCUGCCAAACAAUGAUAGUGACUGUUUACAACAUUUUGUUUUAGACUGCCUUGUACACAGAAUCCUUUAUAUUGAAGGUUUUCAUGUCACAAUCCACUGCUUGUGCAAGGAAACUAGAUUAAUAGAUUAUAAAGGACAAAAGAGACCUGGGUUCAUCUGGUUCAACUUCCUGCAUUAUGCAGGUUAUAAGAUUUUUGUGAAUUUGUUGCUUUUUCUCACUUGAAAGAAUUUACAAUAUACCUGCAUCUUAGCAAAACAUCAGAUUUUCAUUUUAAAAUGGGCUGUGAGAGAGAGUAAAAAAAGAGUUAGUAAAUUGUUUCCAUCAAAAUCUACCUGAAUGACUAGAAAUCAAAAUACCUUUUAAACUUGUCUAGUUUCUGCUUUCAGUUUCUGGAUGUUGCUGUCUCAGUCUGCUUGACGGAGGAAUGCUCCAUUACCAGAUUUCCGUCUCCAUGUAGCUAUGUACAGGCUGAUCAACUGAGCCUUUAACGUUUCCGUUGCAGACUUGCAGAGCUCCCCCUCGGGUCCAUCUUCACUAAUCCUGUAAUCGUUCCUGUCACGGUUCCCUGUAAACACUCCAGUUUUUUACCAUUUUGAUCUGGGCAGAAGGGGUCAGUGAUCAGCAGUGAUCAUAUACCCGCACCAACAGCCCUCCUGGCUGUGAUGUCUCUGUUGGGCAUCCAGGGAUUACACCAGCCCACGUUCAGCUGGUUGCCCAGCACGGCUACUGAAAUACUCUCAGAUCUGCUGCUUCUUGGGACGGCAUCCCCAUACUGUUGGUUUGUAGUCUUUGUUCUGAAUGUAUGACUUUACACUUGGCCCUCCUGAAAAGGACAAGUCCUUAAAGGACAAGUCCUGAGACAGCAUUGUUGGUUGCAGUGGUCUUUUUUUUUUUUUUUUUUUUCUUUCCUUAAAUACCCCUUCCUGCUACUGUUGAGUGUCACCUAGAAACUUGAUGGGUAAUGAUGUUAUAUUUUCUUCUAGAUAAACAACUGCUUCUGUCUCCACUGUAGGAGUUUCCCAGUUCCGGGUGUGUGUACACCUCAGCCAUGUCAAUAUUGCAUCAGGAGGAGGUCUAGAUGUUCACCAUCCUUUUGUCACACCCCAGUUUCAUGGGAAGAAAGCCCAGUUUAGGAGCUGGAAGGGAGCCAGGAGGCACACUGCAGCAUUUGCCUGCCCUCAUGUCUAUAAGGUAGCAGUUGAGUAAUGUAGGGCCCAAAACAGGUAGUUGCAGGACUCAUAAAAGACAGCUCUAGGACACAGUGGUUACAACUGCAUUUUGAGACCUUCCUGUUAGAUGGAUACUAACCCAUUUGUGUCUUCUUGCACUUAGAUUCUCCUACUCAUAAGCACGUAAAUGCUUUGAAGGGGUUGAAGUAUGGCAGGCACAUCAGCCCUCUUGCAGAAAUCUCCUCUUAGUGUUAUUCCCAUUUACCACCGAACCUUGCAGUUUCUUAAAAGAGUUUCUUUCUCAGCAGCUAAACUCUUGUAGCUUUGUUUCCUGUGGAUUUCUGUCCAUAAAUGCCCCCUGACAAAUCUUCCGGCUCUUUCCCAGUCUUGCUUGCCCUGUCUGGCAGAGCAAGGGGUGAUGUGCUGGCUGGGAGCUCCACAGGGGCCAACCAGGCAGCGGUCCUGCUGCUUGGUAUGGGCAAGGGCUGAGUUCUGCUUGCCUUUCUCCGAGACCAAGGUGGUGCCUCCACUAGGUACUCUACUCAACUGUUCAUUCAAGACCUAAAUAUGUUUGGGUCUUCUUCCCCACUGCCAAAUUUGAGAUUGGAGGAAGGAGAGGAAAAAUGACACAGAACAACACAGUCACAUUAGACUGUUUUAUUUUUAGGAAACCAGGAAUAAUGAGUAGGAAUAUGGACAGGGUGUUUGAUGUUCAGUUUUCUUGCUAUGAAAUUUUUCAUUUCUUCUUAAGAACAGCAGGUGAUCUGUCUAGGGGAUUUCUCAGCCAAAAUAAGCAACCUCCUGACAGAUUUCACCUGUGUCCCAGCGUGCUCUGAGGAUGCACAGGAUGUAAUCAUUGAACAAUGACAGGGAAUCACAAGUCUGCUGUGCUCUUUGGCUGCCUGAGUGCAAAGAGAUGUAUGGCGAUACCCCAUAGUAGAACAAACAUUUAUUUUGUUUAAGAUCCAUAAAACUUUUGAUGGACAUGUUGGAUAUUUGCCAGGGCUGGGUUUUUUGGUGUCUUUUAAAAUGUAUCUGUUCAUUUUAUUCCUGCUAGUAUUAUGACAAAGCCACCUCUGUAAGGUGGUGAGUGCUUUCAGAGAUCUAAUCAUUCUUGAGCUAUAAAGGAAUAAAGAAGCUGUUUCAACA